rnacentral:rRNA from 1 species
UGCUGGCGGCGUGCCUAUACAUGCUAGUCGAACGCGCAGCGAGAGGUGCUUGCACCUUUCAAGCGAGUGGCGAACGGGUGAGUAACACGUGGAUAACCUGCCUCAAGGCUGGGGAUAACAUUUGGAAACAGAUGCUAAUACCGAAUAAAACUUAGUAUCGCAUGAUAUCAAGUUAAAAGGCGCUACGGCGUCACCUAGAGAUGGAUCCGCGGUGCAUUAGUUAGUUGGUGGGGUAAAGGCUUACCAAGACGAUGAUGCAUAGCCGAGUUGAGAGACUGAUCGGCCACAUUGGGACUGAGACACGGCCCAAACUCCUACGGGAGGCUGCAGUAGGGAAUCUUCCACAAUGGGCGCAAUCCUGUUGGAGCAACGCCGCGUGUGUGAUGAAGGCUUUCGGGUCGUAAAGCACUGUUGUAUGGGAAGAAAUGCUAAAAUAGGGAAUGAUUUUAGUUUGACGGUACCAUACCAGAAAGGGACGGCUAAAUACGUGCCAGCAGCCGCGGUAAUACGUAUGUCCCGAGCGUUAUCCGGAUUUAUUGGGCGUAAAGCGAGCGCAGACGGUUGAUUAAGUCUGAUGUGAAAGCCCGGAGCUCAACUCCGGAAUGGCAUUGGAAACUGGUUAACUUGAGUGUUGUAGAGGUAAGUGGACCU